UCCCGUGAACCAUCGAGUCUUUGAACGCAAGUUGCGCCCGAAGCCGUCAGGCCGAGGGCACGCCUGCCUGGGCGUCACACGCCGUUGCCCCCCCGCGCCUCUCUCGGGAGCGAUUGCGGGGGGACGGAUGAUGGCCUCCCGUGCGCUCCGUCGCGCGGUUGGCAUAAAUGCCGAGUCCCC
rnacentral:rRNA from 2 species